UACGGAGGGUGCAAGCAUUAAUCGGAUUUAUUGGGCGUAAAGGGCGCGUAGGCGGAAGAGAAAGUCAGAUGUGAAAUCCCGGGGCUCAACCUCGGAACAGCAUUUGAAACUCCUCAUCUAGAGGGUAGGCGGAGAAAACGGAAUUCCACAAGUAGCGGUGAAAUGCGUAGAUAUGUGGAAGAACACCGGUGGCGAAAGCGGUUUUCUAGCUUAUACCUGACGCUGAGGCGCGAAAGCUAGGGGAGCGAACAGGAUUAGAUACCCUAGUAGU
rnacentral:rRNA from 1 species